rnacentral:tRNA from 1 species
GGUGUAGUGUUAAUGGUAGCACAGUGAACUCCAAAUUCACAAGUGAGGGUUCGAUUCCUUCCACCUUUGCCA